rnacentral:lncRNA from 1 species
UCUUCUAGUCUAGUCUGGGGUCCCAAAAUGCUUUCCAUUCACUCCUGGGUCCUGACAGGGGCAGAGCCAACAUCAAACUCCUUGCCUGUAUCAGUCAGGGUUCUCCAGAGAAACAGAACCGACACGAGAGCUCACUCGUGGCAAGACUGACUGCCUCAGUGGCAAGUUGCAGAGAAUGAGUGUGUUUUGUCCUUGCCCACAAGGCUUAUGAAGAGCUGUAAAGAGUUCCUCUGUGACUUGUGUAUCCCUUCUCUGUAUGUGUCUCUCAAACAUUCAUCAAGUGGCAGCCAGGGUCAAGAUACAAUGACAAGCGUGGCAGUCCAUACCCUCAGGGGUGUGGUGUCAUCAGGAAGGACUGUAUUGUCAACAAAUCACAGCAAAAAAUGGCAAAGCUGUGAUGAUUCAAGCUCGUAUAAAUUACUGAGAAGAGGGAAGCUAGGUAGAGUUCAGGUCCCUGAGGAAGUUGAGGAAGAUGGUACUUUUAGUCCAGGAAAUGAAGUUUGGGUGGGGUUUUCCAGAAAACAAAUGAGAUCAGGUUACUCAGGGCAGAGGAAACAGCAGGUGAAAAGACAAAAGCCUGCCCUGCUUGGAGAAUUGUUUAGUAGCUCAAUGUGGCUGGAGCAUCAUUUAGAGGGAUGGCGGUCAAGAGUGAAUGGGAUAAUUGAUUAUAAAGUUUAUAGAGAUGGAAAUAAUUGCUAAAAGGAAAAACAAAGCAACAAUGUGCAAAACAAAAUAAGGUCCCACCCCAUUCACUGAUCUGUGCUUUGACACUGCCUUUCUUUGAAAUUUUUUGAAAGAGAUGAAUCACCCAGAAUUUCUAAUGGUGGGAUUUUUAUUUUAAAGAUGGAUUUCUUUUUUCAGAGGAAAAUCAAACUGAGAUUAUCUGGGGUGUUUUAUCAACAGGAUUAAAAUUCUGGGUUUUACUGUAUGAUUUCACUCAUGUGGAAGAUAAACAAAUACAUGGACACAUGCCCCUCACCCCACCUGCUAUGGACUGAAUUCUAUCCCUCCAAAGAUGUUAUAGUCCUAACCUCUAGCACCUGUGGAUGAGACCAUAUUCGGAAGUAGAGUCUUUGAAGAAGAUCAAAUUAACAUGAGGUCAUUAGGACGGGCCCUUACCCAACACGACCAUCUCCUAAAAGGGGAAAAUUUGGAAACAGAUAUGCACACAGAAAGAACAUCAUGUGAACACGAAGGCAGAGAUUGGGAUGAUGCUUCUACAAACCAAGGAAUGCCAGAAAUUUCCAGCAACCACCAGAUGCUAAGAGAGAGGCUUGGAACAGUUUCUCCUUUACAACCCCCAGAGGGAACUAAACCUACUGACAUCUUGAUUUCAGACUUCUAGACUCCAGAACUGUGAGACAAUAAAUUUCCAUUGUUUAAGCCACUCAGUUUGUUGCCCUUUGUUACAGCAGCCCCAGGAAACUGACACAGUACCAGAUUUCGGAAGCAGCUUUGCUGCAGCCUGGGAUAGAUGGGAGAAAGGAGUGCCUGAGAGUGGGAUGCCUGCCUGAUGGGGAGAGAAUUUAAGAUAGAUGGGAAGUAUACAUGGAAAGCUCAGAGGAAUGGCACUCUAGAGGGUUCUGAGCUACAUAAGAUGACUAUCCAGAUCAGACCUGGCUCUUUGGUACUUUUCAAAGAAAACUGAUUUUAUGACAAUGCAACUGAAAGGGCUUUAGAUUGGAGAGUACUGUAGAACUCAAAUAAGUGCUUCUUCGGUAAUCAAAAUAAGUUCAUUCUUGAGUGAGGGAAUAUGUAUUUAAUGUAGCCAUCCAAGGAAAUCAUGCGACAUGGACUUUCAAAGCAUGUGCUUCACAAAAGAAAGGAAUGAUUAUCCGCUUCUUUCCUAAAAGUUGAAUAGCUGUCAUUUGUUCACACCGAGGAGGCUCUGCAAUGUGGCUUUAGACUGCUGUGCUUGUGGGUCAUACGGCAGCAUCUUCACGAAACAUGGAUGCAAAAUAAGGUAUCAACUCCUUAACAUAAAUGUAGACGCUGCUGGGAUAAACAAAAUGCAAAUUUAUUUUUAAAUUAAUUCAUUUGAAACAAAGAACAAGGAUAGAACAUCUGCAAUUGGGGCUGUGGGCUUUGAAAUAUUCCGAUGCCAUAAGGAACCUUCACACUCACCAGAGUAUAAACCAUUGACGCAUAUCUACUGCAUUUCCCGGUUUGGCAACUCUGAGAAAUGAAUUUUUAGUUUAUUGUGCGGAAGCUCUGAAGAGGCCAGGAUAAAGUGUACAGGAAGUCAUCAUUUGGCUGCGGAUGGGCAACUGGGUUUCCUACUUCCUCAGUAGCAAACAUGGGCUGUUUUUGACUGAGUGGCAUGCUUUGAAAGCGAGUGACAUACAUUGAUGUGCAACCCUCUGAUCUGAAGAGCAUGUGAGCAUGAUGUUCUUCCCUGAGCUAAAAGUGUAUGAACUAUGUGAAAGAUGCUCCCACAGGGGUGGGCACCAUUGACUCCAUGGGGCUCCCAAGGGAGGUGGACUUCUUGGUUGAUCAAGUUUGGUGAAGGGCACUAAUCCUUCAGCAACUGUCCACAAAAGGAAUUCCCUGAAGAACAGUCCCCUGGAUAAAACAUAAUUUAUGGAAAAUGAAGAAGUACCAAGGAAGGAUCUGGCCUCUUCCUUGGUCCUGGGCUCUGAUUUUUACUCUCUGGACUCAGAAGGAGAAAGACCACAAAACACUCAAUGAGGCCUUACCACUCCAGAAGCAAGGGGACAGCCAUCCGCUCAAGAGCAGGAAACUGAGGCAGCGAGCAGACCUCCCCCUAGAGACCCACAGCUCCACAUGCACCGGGGACCCACAGCUCCAGCACCUUUCCACUCUGGUCUUGCCUGUCUCUCCUUUCAUGGCCGAUGACAGUCAAUAUUAAAAGAGAUUUAGC